rnacentral:rRNA from 1 species
UACGUAGGGGGCAAGCGUUGUCCGGAUUUAUUGGGCGUAAAGAGCGUGUAGGCGGCUAGAUAGGUCCGUUGUGAAAACUCGAGGCUCAACCUCGAGACGCCGGUGGAAACCGUCUGGCUAGAGUCCGGAAGAGGAGUGUGGAAUUCCUGGUGUAGCGGUGAAAUGCGCAGAUAUCAGGAAGAACACCUAUGGCGAAGGCAGCACUCUGGGACGGUACUGACGCUGAGACGCGAAAGCGUGGGGAGCGAACAGG